GGGGAAUUUUCCGCAAUGGGCGAAAGCCUGACGGAGCAAUACCGCGUGAGGGAAGACUGCCUAUGGGUUGUAAACCUCUUUUUUCAGGGAGGAAUCAAUGACGUGUACCUGAAGAAUAAGCAUCGGCUAACUCCGUGCCAGCAGCCGCGGUAAGACGGAGGAUGCAAGUGUUAUCCGGAAUCACUGGGCGUAAAGCGUCUGUAGGUGGUUUAAUAAGUCAACUGUUAAAUCUUGAGGCUCAACUUCAAAAUCGCAGUCGAAACUAUUAGACUAGAGUAUAGUAGAGGUAAAGGGAAUUUCCAGUGGAGCGGUGAAAUGCGUAGAUAUUGGAAAGAACACCGAUGGCGAAAGCACUUUACUGGGCUAUUACUAACACUCAGAGACGAAAGCUAGGGUAGCAAAUGGGAUUAGAUACCCCAGUAGUC
rnacentral:rRNA from 1 species